AAGCAAGCGGAACCAAUAUACCGGAAUUUAUUAAUUGCCUGACAAAAGAAAAGGAGUGCGAGGAUCGGCGGGUUCAUAGCCACCCGAGAUCCAUUUGCAGUUCGCCGAAACUGGCACCUACGCCCAAACAAAAAAGUCCCAUGUUCUAAAUUUAGUCGAAUCUGUAGCUGGGAUUAUUCUUAGACUUGGAGGGAGGGGCUCGUCUCAAAAGUUCAACAGGGGGAAGUAGGUCCAGGCUCCAUAACUAGGAAAACAACGUGAUGGUCAAUCUCCUUGACUGUCACCUCCUUUUCUAUUCUCUGCAGGUCUCUCUUUAUAGAUCCAGGACGCGAAAAUGAAAGCAAGUCUAGGUGGUUCUGUACCACAGAAAUCCUGGUCCAAAACACUCUCGCCCGUUGUUCGUCGACAAAGGUCCCCUUUUUCCUUGAGCAAUCGACGUCGAGCCAACACGGAGCCAGCCCUAGAGUUGUCGACAUCCAGCAAAACAUGAAGCAAACCUAGAGGAUCUGAAGCCCAUAAUCGUGCCCCCUCGUAUCCAUGCACACACGCAUUGGACUGUAGCUCUGUGUCUGCACGCUAAAUUCCAUCCCAAAUGUUUCGACCCUUGACAGGAGUUUGGGUGAUAAUGUGGCGAAGUGGAAAAUCCCCUCCAAAGUUAUGACAAAGAUGCAAAAAAGAAAAAGGUGACCUUGAAUACUCUCGCAACCCCCAUAUUUGACUUUC
rnacentral:lncRNA from 1 species